rnacentral:rRNA from 1 species
UGGGGAAUAUUGCACAAUGGGCGCAAGCCUGAUGCAGCCAUGCCGCGUGUAUGAAGAAGGCCUUCGGGUUGUAAAGUACUUUCAGCGAGGAGGAAGGCGUUGUGGUUAAUAACCGCAACGAUUGACGUUACUCGCAGAAGAAGCACCGGCUAACUCCGUGCCAGCAGCCGCGGUAAUACGGAGGGUGCAAGCGGUAAUCGGAAUUACUGGGCGUAAAGCGCACGCAGGCGGUCGGUCAAGUCGGAUGUGAAAUCCCCGGGCUCAACCUGGGAACUGCAUCCGAAACUGGCAGGCUAGAGUCUUGUAGAGGGGGGUAGAAUUCCAGGUGUAGCGGUGAAAUGCGUAGAGAUCUGGAGGAAUACCGGUGGCGAAGGCGGCCCCCUGGACAAAGACUGACGCUCAGGUGCGAAAGCGUGGGGAGCAAACA